GCUUUAUCAACUCUCAACUCUCUCUAAAAUUUAUUUUCGUCUCUCUCUAUCUUCUUCAAUCCCAUUUCACAAACCCUAACCCUCAAUCGAUCUGCAGAGAGAACCAGAGAAAAAAAAGGCCCGCUUCAAUGGCUUCUCCGAAGCAUAUGCUUCUAUAAUGACGAAAUUGAUGAAAAUCACCACUCGAUUGUAUCGCUGUAGAAACUUCUCCUCUUCCUCCUCCCAAAAUAACGAAAAUUAGAGUUUUUUCAUCAUCGCCCUCCUUAUUUUCGAUCUAUUUAUACAUCCUUUUAAGUUUUGUAAUCUAUAACUGAUCUUAAAUCCUUAUUGGAUUUUGAGUUGUGGAGUACUUCUUUUUAAGUUUUGUAAUCUGUGUUGUUCUUCAAGGUAUUACAUCGUGAUCGAAAUCGGACGAGUUUCGAUGAAAUCGAAGCUGUUUCGGUUGAUUUUCAAUUGAUUUUGGUUAAAUUUUGUUGAAUUUCAGACAUCUUAGAUGUGUUUUGAUUGAUUGUUGAUGUGUUUUGAACAAGUAUUAAGCUGAUUCGAUCUGUUUCAAAUUGAAUUUUUGUUCGUGUCUAACUGUUUCGGUCGAAUUUUGGUCAUUAUCUGUUUGUUUCGAGUGAAAUUCUGAUCAUAUCAGACAAUUUUUUCAUUAACUUCGUAUCAGUUUAAUGGUUAAACUUUGCUAAAAAUAAAAAAAACACACAACAGCAUAUUAUUCAUAACACUUUAUUCAUAUCAGAAUUGGUGAUUUGUUGUAGUUUCGAUAUGAUCGAGUCUUUUGUGAUGUUAAUUGCUGUUCUUUUCAUACAAGAGGCCAUCAAGGUAAAUAUUUCAAAAUUGAUAGUUUAUUACUGUUGUCUUAACCUUCACAAGAAUGUGUUGUGAAUUUGUUGCUUAGGGUCUGGUGAGGGAGUUCAACGUUCCUAAAAAUGAGGACUCAAAUAAAGUGAAGUAUCAGUUUCAGUGGCUUUACGCUAAUGGUCUACCCUUUGAUGAAGAAUUACUAAUUUUAAUAGUUGUUUUAUAUCAAGGAUUUGUAUUUUUUUAAGUUCUACCCUUUGAUCCGUCAUCACUAAAAUGUAAUCCAGAUUGACCUUUUCAUUUUUUUACACUGACCGGUUUACGCAGAUGGAAACAUAUGUUUGGACAUUCUUCCAAACCAGUGGAGUCCAAUUUACGAUGUUGCUGCCAUUCUUACAUCAAUUCAGCCAAUCUUUAUAACUAGAUUCAAAGUCUUUCUUUCAUCAUUUGGGUUGUUUUGCAUCCCAAAGACUCUUCAACCAAGUCUCCCAGCUCCCAAAAAGGAAGCUCUGCAACCAAUCAUGCGAACUCAAUAUUCAAAAGCCCACCCGCCAUGACUAAAGCUGGUGAGGUCCAGUCGAGUUUAGAAAUGGAUCAUCCAAGCUGUAUAAAGAUGGUCAAAGGACUUACUGACACUGCUUAUUGGAUGGGUUUUCCACUGUGGUUUGGGAAGUUGUUUUUACCGAAAGUUGAUUCUGAAAUGGUGAUUGAAGAUGAAUACGGGGAGAUUCAUCUUUUCAUUUCAAUAGUUGUUUUAUAUCAAGGAUUUGUAUUUGUUUUAAGUUCUACCCUUUGAUCCAUCAUCACUAAAAUGUAAUCCAGAUUGACAUUUUCAUUUUUUUACACCAACCAAUUUACGCAGAUCGAAGCAUAUGUUUGGACAUUCUUCAAAACCAGUGGAGUCCAAUUUAUGAUGUUGCUGCCAUUCUUACAUCAAUUCAGCAAAUCUUUAUAACUGGAUUCAAAGUCUUUCAUAUUUCAUCAUUUGGGUUGUUUUGCAACCCAAAGGCUCUUCAACCAAGUCUCCCAGCUCCCAAAAAGGAAGCUCUGCAACCAAGCAUGCGAACUCAUGAUUCAAAAGCCCACCCGCCAUGACUAAAGCUGGUGAGGUCCAGACGAGUUUAGAAAAGGAUCAUCCAAGCUGUAUAAAGAUUAUGAACCAGUAGCUAGCUCGAAAGAUAUGUAAUUUUGGGUGUGUUUAUAAUGAAAUCUGUCUUUCAAAAAUACUUUAUUAGACUUUAUUUUACCAUUUUGGGUUUUAUUUCACUGUUGAAUUGCAUGUACUAAUAUCUGUUUAUUAAUCAGAGGUGUGCUUUUUGAUUU